GAAAUGCGAUAAGUAAUGUGAAUUGCAGAAUUCAGUGAAUCAUCGAAUCUUUGAACGCACCUUGCGCUCCUUGGUAUUCCGAGGAGCAUGCCUGUUUGAGUGUCACUAAAUUCUCAACCACUCCAGCCUUUGUGGGUUGGAUGUGGCUUGGAUGUUGGGGGUUUCUGCGGGCCUCUCUUUUGAGGUCGGCUCCCCUGAAAUGCAUUAGCGGAACCGUUUGCAGUCCGUCGCCGGUGUGAUAAUUAUCUACGCCAUAGACAAAGGCUGCUCUCUGUCUGUUCAGCUUCUAACUGUCCCCAGUGGACAACUUUCUGAACGUUUGACCUCAAAUCAGGUAGGACUACCCGCUGAACUUAA
rnacentral:misc_RNA from 1 species